AUAUUCUGCUAGAUAGUAAAUAAAUAUUUUUUAUUGUACAUUUUUUGAGAGUCGAUAAUUUUAUGAUGGAAAUAUCGUUAAACAUGAAAUUAAAUUACAUUAAUUACGUAAUAAAUGAAAAACCUUCCGAAAAGAAGGGUCUAUUAAAUAGCAGAAUCGUUUCAUAAAACUUUCAUGUAUUUUGUAAAUAUUAAAAAGAAGGUUCUUUAAACGUAGCUAAUAAUUAAAAAAGGGCUAGGACAAUUCGCUAUUUUAUCUUGUAGGCUUUCCUCGAAAAUUCUUCGAUAAUUCUUAUUGUUACAAAUUUUUAUCGAAGAAAAUAUCGAACGGCAAAAACAGAGUAGCAACGUAUUUAUGAAAGAAAUUUUCUCAAGAAGUGACCUUUUUUUAUGAAUGACAAAAGAUCGAUAGUUUAUUUUAUAAAGAUAUUAAUCUUUUGACAUUCUAACAGGGAUCAAACUUUUAAUAUUUUCCUUCUUACAUUGAGUAUAAAUAGAAAAUCAAUAUUUCCAGCGGCCAGUUCUUUUAUAAAUCUUCCUCCGUGAACGAACAUGCUACACAAGGUUUCAAUUAAAGACGAAAGAUUCGAGAAAUAUGGAUACGCAAUGGACACGAGCCAGAUCUAGCUCCAAAUUCAGCCAAGAUGAAAAUCGAAUAUUAAAUCUUCCUGGCGAGUACAAAUUUCAUACCAUAUAUUCGUCUGCAACAGGAUUAAAUAAAUCAACGAAUUUCACGCUUCAUUAUAUGUAUAAGCCAAUCAACAGUUGCGUGCUAACAAUCGCAAUUUUAACUCUUCUUAACGCCUUAAAAAUAAUAUCGAAAAUUCUGUUUUAAAUAUAGAUUCCAUUUAUAUUAGUUAUUCUUCUUUAUUUCCCAGUGCAUCGCAAAUUCCAACAUAUUUUAUAAUUUGUUUGUUAAUUUCGUCUUUCGAAUAAAUGUAAGUUAUCCGAGGA